rnacentral:rRNA from 1 species
CCUACGGGUGGCAGCAGUGAGGAAUAUUGGUCAAUGGGCGAGAGCCUGAACCAGCCAAGUCGCGUGAAGGAUGAAGGAUCUAUGGUUUGUAAACUUCUUUUAUAUGGGAAUAAAGUGAAGUAUGUGUUCUUCUUUGCAUGUACCAUAUGAAUAAGCAUCGGCUAACUCCGUGCCAGCAGCCGCGGUAAUACGGAGGAUGCGAGCGUUAUCCGGAUUUAUUGGGUUUAAAGGGUGCGAAGGCGGGGGUGCACGUCGGUGUUAAAAUUGCGGGGUUCAACCCCGUACUGUAGUUGAAACUGCAUCCCUUGAGUGCGCGAGAGGUAUGCGGAAUGCGUGGUGUAGCGGUGAAAUGCAUAGAUAUCACGCAGAACUCCGAUUGCGAAGGCAGCAUACCGGCGCGUAACUGACGCUCAUGCACGAAAGCGUGGGUAUCGAACAGGAUUAGAUACCCCAGUAGUC